CAACGGCCGUGUGUGUGGAAGAAGGAAGCGAGAGUGUGGUUACUCAGGCAGGGCCAUGUGACAGCCCACACCCCCUUGUUUGUGACAGCUUUGGUAACAACGUUGAUCAAGAUGGGAUUCCGACGUGAUCUCUAGACGCGCAGCAGGUCCUGUCAGCUGCAGUCGAGACCUCUCUGGGGAGCCAGGUUACAGAUUCCACAGGGGCAGGACCCCCUCAUUUCUCCAUCCUAGUUUGUUCAUUUAGCCCCCUCUGGCACCCCAGGCUGGGGGCCCUGAGAGCCACAGGGGAGCAAAGAUUGCUGAGAGAGUCCUGGUUCAUCUCAUCUGUGUGAAGACCAUAAAGCCACAACUCACUGCACCUGACACCUGUGUGAUUCAAGAAUUCAAAACAGAUUUCUGUUUCCAGGAACAGAGCCCAGAAAAACACACCAAAUUGCCUUCAAAGAUUAAAGCAACAGGGCCAGGUGCGGUGUCUCACACCGGUAAUCCUAGCACUCUGGGAGGCCGAGGCGGGAGGAUAGCUUGAGGUCAGGAGUUCGAGACCAGCCUGA